rnacentral:rRNA from 1 species
UACGUAGGGGGCAAGCGUUGUCCGGAUUUAUUGGGCGUAAAGCGCGUGUAGGCGGCCAGGUAGGUCGGUUGUGAAAAUUGGAGGCUCAACCUCCAGACGUCGAUCGAAACCAUCUGGCUAGAGUCCGGAAGAGGAGAAUGGAAUUCCUGGUGUAGCGGUGAAAUGCGCAGAUAUCAGGAAGAACACCGAUGGCGAAGGCGGUUCUCUGGGACGGUACUGACGCUGAGACGCGAAAGCGUGGGGAGCGAACAGG